UCCGGGUUGGACCCGGCGGUCCCGCCAGACAUGGUAACUGGCAGCGGGGGUUGCGCUCGAUGCGGGACUUAACCCAACACCUCACGACACGAGCUGACGACAGCCAUGCACCACCUGUGCACCAGUCCCGAAGGAGGGCCGUAUUUCUACGGCUUUCCGGUGCAUGUCAAGCCCUGGUAAGGUUCUUCGCGUCGCGUCGAAUUAAUCCACAUGCUCCGCCGCUUGUGCGGGCCCCCGUCAAUUCCUUUGAGUUUUAGCCUUGCGGCCGUACUCCCCAGGCGGGGCGCUUAAUGCGUUAGCUACGGCACGGAUCCCGUGGAAGGAAACCCACACCUAGCGCCCACCGUUUACGGCGUGGACUAC
rnacentral:misc_RNA from 1 species